rnacentral:rRNA from 1 species
CCUACGGGUGGCAGCAGUGGGGGAUAUUGCACAAUGGGGGAAACCCUGAUGCAGCGACGCCGCGUGGGUGAAGAAGUAUUUCGGUAUGUAAAGCCCUAUCAGCAGGGAAGAAAGAAGACGGUACCUGACUAAGAAGCCCCGGCUAACUACGUGCCAGCAGCAGCGGUAAUACGUAGGGGGCGAGCGUUAUCCGGAUUCACUGGGUGUAAAGGGAGCGUAGACGGCCGUGCAAGCCAGGAGUGAAAGCCCGGGGCCCAACCCCGGGACUGCUCUUGGAACUGUGCGGCUGGAGUGCGGGAGGGGCAGGCGGAAUUCCUGGUGUAGCGGUGAAAUGCGUAGAUAUCAGGAGGAACACCGGCGGCGAAGGCGGCCUGCUGGACCGCGACUGACGUUGAGGCUCGAAAGCGUGGGGAGCGAACAGGAUUAGAUACCCCAGUAGUC